AACGAACGCUAUCGGUAUGCUUAACACGUGCAAGUCGGACGGACUAAUUAGGGCUUGCUCCAAUUAGUUAGUGGCAGACGGGUGAGUAACACGUGGGAAUCUGCCCAUCAGUACGGAAUAACUUUUAGAAAUAAAAGCUAAUACCGUAUAUUCUCUACAGAGGAAAGAUUUAUCGCUGAUGGAUGAGCCCGCGUCAGAUUAGGUAGUUGGUGAGGUAACGGCUCACCAAGCCGACGAUCUGUAGCUGGUCUGAGAGGAUGAUCAGCCACACUGGGACUGAGACACGGCCCAGACUCCUACGGGAGGCAGCAGUGGGGAAUAUUGGACAAUGGGCGAAAGCCUGAUCCAGCAAUACCGAGUGAGUGAUAAAGGCCCUAGGGUUGUAAAGCUCUUUUAGCAAGGAAGAUAAUGACGUUACUUGCAGAAAAAGCCCCGGCUAACUCCG
rnacentral:rRNA from 1 species